rnacentral:rRNA from 1 species
GAUGAACGCUGGCGGCGUGCCUAAUACAUGCAAGUCGAGCGAACAGACGAGGAGCUUGCUCCUCUGACGUUAACGGCGGACGGGUGAGUAACACGUGGAUAACCUACCUAUAAGACUGGGAUAACUUCGGGAAACCGGAGCUAAUACCGGAUAAUAUAUUGAACGGCAUGGUUCAAUAGUGAAAGACGGUUUUGCUGGCACUUAUAGAUGGAACCGGGCUGCAGUAGCUAGUUGGUAAGGUAACGGCCUACCAAGGCAACGAUGCGUAGCCGACCUGAGAGGGGGAUCGGCCACACUGGAACUGAGACACGGUCCAGACUCCUACGGGAGGCAGCAGUAGGGAAUCUUCCGCAAUGGGCGAAAGCCUGACGGAGCAACGCCGCGUGUGUGAUGAAGGUCUUCGGAUCGUAAAACUCUGUUAUUAGGGAAGAACAAAUGUGUAAGUAAAUAUGCACGUCUUGACGGUACCUAAUCAGAAAGCCACGGCUAACUACGUG